rnacentral:rRNA from 1 species
GAUGAACGCUGGCGGCGUGCUUAACACAUGCAAGUCGAACGAUGAAGCCCAGCUUGCUGGGUGGAUUAGUGGCGAACGGGUGAGUAACACGUGAGUAACCUGCCCUUGACUCUGGGAUAAGCCUGGGAAACUGGGUCUAAUACUGGAUAUGACUUCUCAUCGCAUGGUGGGGGGUGGAAAGAUUUAUUGGUCUUGGAUGGACUCGCGGCCUCUCAGCUUGUUGGUGAGGUAAUGGCUCACCAAGGCGACGACGGGUAGCCGGCCUGAGAGGGUGACCGGCCACACUGGGACUGAGACACGGCCCAGACUCCUACGGGAGGCAGCAGUGGGGAAUAUUGCACAAUGGGCGCAAGCCUGAUGCAGCUACGCCGCGUGAGGGAUGACGGCCUUCGGGUUGUAAACCUCUUUCAGUAGGGAAGAAGCGAGAGUGACGGUACCUGCAGAAGAAGCGCCGGCUAACUACGUG